AAUACAUCAAUGCACUUGGGAAGAAAAUAAAAUAAUCUUACCCAUCCAAGGAAAACUUAUUUUAGAAAAUAUACUCAAACAUAUUAAGAAAGAGUGUGUGCGCGCGCGCGCGUGUGCGCGUGCGUGCGUGCGUGCGUACGUGUGUGUGAAAAUAUGCGAGGAUAAUUAUUCAGUUGAUCCAUUUGGGGCUUUCCAUAGACAAUUUUCAUCCUAUUAUUUAAGUUAUAUUUAAAUUUUAGCAAGUAUUACUAAACUUAGGAUUAAAAUUGUGUUCUCCUCUGCUUAUUUUCUUCUAUAUCAUCCACAUCAUUCAUCUUCGAUCUAUUAUUCAAAGUUAAGGAUAGGGCUGGCAUAAGUUUUUGGUCGAAACUGGAAAAAACGACCGAACUGAAUUUUUUAAAUUUUUUAUUUUGGUUUUUUGUUUAAAUCAGUCGGUUUUGGUUUUUAGUUUUAAAAUUUCAGUAUAUCGGUUCAGUUUUUGGUUUUUAUAUUUUUUAUUUCGUUUAACCGAAAAAUCUAAUUUAUACACUACAUAUUUACUACAUUAUAUAUUUAACUUUUAAGAGUUAAUUGUUUGUCUCAUUAUUUGUAAGUGUUAAGUAGUAACCCAACAAAGCCCAAUAUCCCUAAAUCUUUAUUCACCCAAAAUCCCUUAACCUAUUCAGAAUUCAGUCAUUUCACAUUUCACCCAACUGCGUUGCCUUCUGUGACUUGUGAGAGUGAGAAUGUGACUGCGUAAGGCGUUAGUAAAGACUGAAGAACAGUCGGCAGCCGCAAGUCCGCGACUGCGCGAGGCAGCGAUCCAUCGUCCAUCGACCUGAACUCCUGAAGGAUGACAGAAAUCAAAAGUAAGAUAAGUGAAAGUGGGGCUUGAAAUGAAACCAUAGAUUACAUUCCAUCUUCCAAUGAAGUUGAAACUGACAUUGAACCUUCAAAAAAAGAAAAGCCAUGGAACCUAGGGCUGCUUGUUGAGAAAUACGUCGAUUAAGAUGGAGCUAUUAGAGAAAAAUGUAAUUACUGUGAGAAAACAUAUGAUGCUGCUACAAAAAGUAAUGGUACUUCGACUAUGAAUAAUCAUAUAACUAACAAGAAGUGUCCUAACUUUCCCUCUGCUGUUGAUUAUGGUCAGAAAUUAAUAAAAUUUUUACCAUCUUCAAAGGGAGAAAAGAAGGGCUGAUUAACACUUGGAAAUUUGAUCAAGCACAAAGUAGAAAAGCUUUAGUUCUAAUGAUAAUUGUUGAUGAGUUUCCAUUUAGUAUUGUUGAGAAGGAAGGUCUUAGGAAUUUCAUGAAAGUUAUAGUGCCACAAUUUCAUAAUCCUUCUCAUAGAAAUUUGACAAGAAAUUGUAAUGAACUUUAUGGUGAAGAAAAAAAACUCAUGAAGAAGUGUUUCAAAGAAGCACGUCCAAAAAUUUGUCUUACGACAAAUACUUGGACGUCGAUUCAAAGAAUCAAUGACAUGUGUCUAACAGCUCACUUUAUAGAUAGAAAUUGGAAUUUGCAUAAAAGAAUCAUAAAUUUUUGUCCUAUUUCUAGUCAUAAAGGUGAUGAUAUGGUAGCUUCCAUUACUGCUUGUUAGCUUGACUGGGGUUUGGAUAAUGUGUUUACCAUAAUCGUUGAUAAUGCUAGUUCCAAUAGUGUUAAUGUUAAAGGAAUAUCUAAGCAACUCACUAAUUGGGGAACCAACAUAAUGAAGGGUCAACAUCUUCAUGUGAGGAGCGUGGUGCAUAUUCUUAAUCUUAUUGUUCAAGAUGGAUUGAAGGAAGUUGGUCAAUCAAUCAACGAGUGAGACAAUCCGUGAAAUACAUUAGACAAUCUCCGGCAAGAAUUAAAAAAUUUAAAGAAUGUUGUGAAUCCCAUUGAUAACUUGUAAGAAAUCAUUAUGUUUAGAUGUUCCCACCAGGUGGAACGCUACAUACUUGAUGCUUGAUACUGCACAACACUUUGAACUUGCAUUUGAAAGAUAUAAUUUUUAUAAUAUUGGGCUUCUUGAUUAUCUCCGUACCCAUGAUUGUGAAGAUGGAACAAAAGCAGGUGCCCUCACUAGUUUUGAUUGGGAAAAUGUGAGUUCGAUGACUAAGUUUCUUGAAAUAUUUUAUACACUUACUUUGAAGGUCUCUGGUUCAAAGUAUCACCUUCUGGAAAUUGUUGAGCUUGAUCUUAUUUUGAAAGAGAUGACAUAAAAUGAAGAUUCUAAUUUGAAGAAUAUGGCAUAAAGUAUGAGAGACAAAAUUCAAAAAAUAUUGGGGUGAACCAGAUAACAUGAACAAAGUGAUUUUUAUAUCAGCUGCGUUGGAUCCUUGAAACAAGCUUAAUUAUGUUCUUUUUGCAAUUGGUGAUAUUUUUUGAAAAGAAAUUGGGGAGCUACUUGCUGAUGCAGUGGAUAAAUAUAUGAAAGUUUUGUUUGAUCAUUAUCAUCAAAAGUCUCUUUAUUUUCAUCAUCUUCAUCUGGGAACUCAUCUAGUAUAUCUAGUGUGAGUGGUGAUAACAGCUUUCAAAAAAGAUGAUCAAUGAGAACGAAAAAAGAAUUUGUGAGGCAAAAAGCAGUUAGUGGAAGUUCAAGUAGUAAAUCAGAGUUGGGUAGAUAUCUUGUUGAAGAUGUUGAGCCAGAGACUGGUGAUUUUGAUAUAUUAAAGUGGUGGAAAUUUAAUGAGCCAAGAUUUCCUAUUCUUGCUUAGAUGUCUCGUGACGUAUUAGUCAUUCCUAUUUCAAGUGUCGCAUCUGAAUGCGCAUUUAGCACAGAAGGUCGUAUUCUUGAUGCUUUUAGGAGUUCAUUGACUCCUAAACUAGUGCAAGCUCUUAUUUUCUUCAAGAUUGGUCUACAAGUGAACCAAUUUCAAUUAAUGUUGAGGAAGAUCUAGAGUAUCUUAAGCUACUUGAACUUGAUAUGGAUCAUAGUGGAAAUGAACCUCGUAUUGUGGAUGUGUAGUUAUAACUAUCAAGCAGUAAGAAAAUUUUAAUUUAAAAUCUUUUUCUAUUAGCAUUCAACACUUGUUUUUCUUUUUUUCCGUUGAGUUUGUUUAAUUUCUAUCAUAUAUCUAAAGAGUUUCAUUUCUCUCAGGCAUAUUUAUAGUAUGGAUGCUAUUAUUGGUGAACUGAUCGAGUUGGAAUCCUGUUGUUGUUAGACUGCAAUGAAAUGCACACAAGGAAUGCCGACUUUCUUCUGAUAGAGUUGAACUGCAGUGUUGUUGUCACGUUGUUGAUUCUUAUUUUGUCUUGUUGGUUCUUGUUUUGACUGUUAUUGAUGUAUAAUGCUCUUGAUUUCUUAGUUUUUUGUUGAAUCUUGAAUACUCUUGGUUUCUUAGAUUUUUGUUAAUGUCUUGAU